ncrna:unclassified sequences GP20-b RNA
UGUCUAACCGCAGACGUAAAAGAGCGGACACACGGGAUGCAACCCCGUAAAAAGCGUA